GGAUCCAGACUUUGAUUAUGGCUCUGGACGAACGCUGGCGGCGCGCCUAACACAUGCAAGUCGAACGAGAGAGAAGGAGCUUGCUUCUUCGAUCGAGUGGCGAACGGGUGAGUAACGCGUGAGGAACCUGCCUCAAAGAGGGGGACAACAGUUGGAAACGACUGCUAAUACCGCAUAAGCCCACGGGUCGGCAUCGACCAGAGGGAAAAGGAGCAAUCCGCUUUGAGAUGGCCUCGCGUCCGAUUAGCUAGUUGGUGAGGUAAUGGCCCACCAAGGCGACGAUCGGUAGCCGGACUGAGAGGUUGAACGGCCACAUUGGGACUGAGACACGGCCCAGACUCCUACGGGAGGCAGCAGUGGGGAAUAUUGCACAAUGGGGGAAACCCUGAUGCAGCGACGCCGCGUGGAGGAAGAAGGUCUUCGGAUUGUAAACUCCUGUUGUUGAGGAAGAUAAUGACGGUACUCAACAAGGAAGUGACGGCUAACUACGUGCCAGCAGCCGCGGUAAAACGUAGGUCACAAGCGUUGUCCGGAAUUACUGGGUGUAAAGGGAGCGCAGGCGGGAAGACAAGUUGGAAGUGAAAUCCAUGGGCUCAACCCAUGAACUGCUUUCAAAACUGUUUUUCUUGAGUAGUGCAGAGGUAGGCGGAAUUCCCGGUGUAGCGGUGGAAUGCGUAGAUAUCGGGAGGAACACCAGUGGCGAAGGCGGCCUACUGGGCACCAACUGACGCUGAGGCUCGAAAGUGUGGGUAGCAAACAGGAUUAGAUACCCUGGUAGUCCACACCGUAAACGAUGAUUACUAGGUGUUGGAGGAUUGACCCCUUCAGUGCCGCAGUUAACACAAUAAGUAA
rnacentral:rRNA from 1 species